AGCGAACGCUGACGGCAGGCCUAACACAUGCAAGUCGAACGGCUCUUCGGAGCAGUGGCGGACGGGUGAGUAACGCGUGGGAACGUGCCCUUUGGUUCGGAACAACACAGGGAAACUUGUGCUAAUACCGGAUGAGCCCUUUGGGGGAAAGAUUUAUCGCCAUUGGAGCGGCCCGCGUUGGAUUAGGUAGUUGGUGGGGUAAAGGCCCACCAAGCCGACGAUCCAUAGCGGGUCUGAGAGGAUGAUCAACCACACUGGGACUGAGACACGGCCCAGACGCCUACGGGAGGCAGCAGUGGGGAAUCUUGCGCAAUGGGAGAAAGCCUGACGCAGCCCUGCCGCGUGAAUGAUGAAGGUCUUAGGAUUGUAAAAUUCUUUCACCGAGGAAGAUAAUGACGGUACCCGGAGAAGAAGCCCCGGCUAACUUCGUGCCAGCCGCCGCGGUAACAC
rnacentral:rRNA from 1 species